GAUGAACGCUAGCUACAGGCUUAACACGUGCAAGUCGAGGGGAAACGACAUCGAAAGCUUGCUUUUGAUGGGCGUCGACCGGCGCACGGGUGAGUAACGCGUAUCCAACCUGCCCAUCACUUGGGAAUAACCUUGCGAAAGUAAGACUAAUACCCAAUGAUAUCCCACGAAGGCAUCGGAAUGGGAUUAAAGAUUUAUCGGUGAUGGAUGGGGAUGCGUCUGAUUAGCUUGUUGGCGGGGUAACGGCCCACCAAGGCAACGAUCAGUAGGGGUUCUGAGAGGAAGGUCCCCCACAUUGGAACUGAGACACGGUCCAAACUCCUACGGGAGGCAGCAGUGAGGAAUAUUGGUCAAUGGGCGAGAGCCUGAACCAGCCAAGUAGCGUGCAGGAAGACGGCCCUAUGGGUUGUAAACUGCCUUUAUAAGGGAAUAAAGUGGGUCACGUGUGACUUUUUGCAUGUACCUUAUGAAUAAGGACCGGCUAAUUCCGUG
rnacentral:rRNA from 1 species